AAUAAGUGCAGUUUUACACUAUUCAUGUUUAACGUUUGACCGUUCGUCUUAUUUGAAAAUAUUUUAUGAUUAGUAUUUUUAUUACUAUUAGAUGAUAAAACAUGAAUAGUAUUUUAUGUAUGACUAAAUAUUUUUAAAUUUUUCAAAUAAGACGGACGGUCAAACGUUGAACACGGAUAUCUAUGACUGCACUUAUU
rnacentral:pre_miRNA from 1 species